GAGGUUGUAGCCCAGUGGUAGAGCGCUUGCCUUGCAUGUAUGAGACCCUGGGUUCGAUCCUCAGCACCACA
rnacentral:tRNA from 1 species